GACGAACGCUGGCGGCGUGCUUAACACAUGCAAGUCGAACGGAAAGGCCCUGCUUUUGUGGGGUGCUCGAGUGGCGAACGGGUGAGUAACACGUGAGUAACCUGUCCUUGACUUUGGGAUAACUUCAGGAAACUGGGGCUAAUACCGGAUAGGAGCUCCUGCUGCUUGGUGGGGGUUGGAAAGUUUCGGCGGUUGGGGAUGGACUCGCCGCUUCUCAGCUUGGUGGUGGGGUAGGGGAUUACCAAGGCUUUGACGGGUGGCCGGGCUGAGAGGGUGACCGGCCACAUUGGGACUGAGCUGCGGCACAGACUCCUACGGUAGGCAGGGGUGGAGAGUAGUACACUAUGGGCGGAGGGCUAGUGCGACGAAGCCACGUGGGGGAUGACGGCAUUCGGGUUGUAUACCGAUAUCGCCUGUGACGAAGCGUGAGUGACGGUAAUGGGUGAAGAAGCCCCGGCUAACUACGUG
rnacentral:rRNA from 1 species